rnacentral:rRNA from 1 species
AACUUUUGACAACGGAUCUCUUGGCUCUCGCAUCGAUGAAGAACGCAGCGAAAUGCGAUAAGUAAUGUGAAUUGCAGAAUUCAGUGAAUCAUCGAAUCUUUGAACGCACCUUGCGCUCCUUGGUAUUCCGAGGAGCAUGCCUGUUUGAGUGUCA